CCAGACUCCUACGGGAGGCAGCAGUGGGGAAUAUUGCACAAUGGGGGAAACCCUGAUGCAGCCAUGCCGCGUGUGUGAAGAAGGCCUUCGGGUUGUAAAGCACUUUCAGUGGGGAGGAAAAGUUAGUCGUUAAUACCGGCUAGCCCUGACGUUACCCACAGAAGAAGCACCGGCUAACUCCGUGCCAGCAGCCGCGGUAAU
rnacentral:rRNA from 1 species